GUUCCGGUUUGGCUGGAGUUGGCUAAACGCAUGCGCAGUUAAAAAAAAAAAAAUCCCGGCUGACUAGCUUGAAGUGCAUCAAGCAAAAAACAGUGGUCUGACUGCUGGGAUCGACUCAGCCGAGAUUGGUUCUCCCCUGUAAUUCCUGCGCUCUUCCGAAGCAGGUGCUGAGACAGGAGGCUCGCCACGAGUUGAAGACAAACUGGAAUUGUUUAGAGACCCUGUCUCAAAAAGACUAGAGUCGAGUGUGGUGGUGCGCCUUCGCCUUAGUCCCUGCUUUGAAGAGUUUCUUCUUUUAGAAUGUGGUAAGCAAGAAACCCGUGAGACCAGUUAUACCUACAACAGAAAUCUAUCCAACAACACCUCCAGGAAAUAGCUUCCCGUGUACUAGAUGGUUAUGAAAACCUGUUUACAAAGUUUACAGCCUACAUUCAUAAUCAUGUAAUGAAAGACUCAUGUCCCAAUAUCAUGCUGUUUCAGUCCUGUAUAAACAGUCCUUCAAGCAGCUUUCGAGUCUAGAGUGAAGAUUCCCAAUGCAGAACAGAGCAACAGAAGUAACAAGAUUUGAUGGGGGACUCAGAGAAAGCUGCCUAAAGGUGGUAAAAUUUGAGCUGAAUCAUGAAAAAUUAAUAGAACACAGGCAGCCAAGUGUGAGGAAAGUAAUGGGAACAAUCAUUUGCCUCUAAAGGACAAUUCUUACAAGAAGGAUGGACAAAUGGUGACAAGCCACAAUCUCUAAGCCCGAGAGACUACACUAUAACAUAGACAUACUCUGAGAAGAUUGCCUCUGCACAGAGUAUGUACUCCCAAAAUGAGCUGGAGAGAUGGCUCAGCUGUUAGAGUGUUUCCUGCUAUUCCAAAGGACCUACACGGGGCUCAUCCAAUCACCUCUCAUUCAAACUCAAGGGGCCUCCGUGGGCCAGAACACCCUGAACCACCAUUGCCAAGACACUACUCUCUAUGUACACUUUGGACCUCCCUGUGACCCUCGAGUAAAGACAUCUGGUAGAGAAAAAUCCAGUCAAAUUUGUAUUUUAUGUUUUAAUGUCAUCCCCAAAUAAUUAACAUAAGCAAAGUA